rnacentral:rRNA from 1 species
UAGUCCACGCCGUAAACGAUGGUUACUAGCUGUCCGGUACGUUUGAGUACUGGGUGGCCAAGCGAAAGUGAUAAGUAACCCACCUGGGGAGUACGUUCGCAAGAAUGAAACUCAAAGGAAUUGACGGGGGCCCGCACAAGCGGUGGAGCAUGUGGUUUAAUUCGAUGAUACGCGAGGAACCUUACCAGGGCUUAAAUGCAGUAUGACAGGAUUGGAAACAGUCUUUUCUUCGGACAUAUUGCAAGGUGCUGCAUGGUUGUCGUCAGCUCGUGCCGUGAGGUGUCAGGUUAAGUCCUAUAACGAGCGCAACCCCUAUUGCUAGUUGCCAGCGGAUCAUGCCGGGGACUCUAGUGAGACUGCCGGUGCAAACCGUGAGGAAGGUGGGGAUGACGUCAAAUCAUCACGGGCCCUUACGUCCUGGGGCCACACACGUGCUACAAUGGUAGGGGACAGAGAGCAGCCACUUCGCGAGAAGGGAGCGGAAUCUUCAAACCCUGUCACAGUUCGGGAU